GAUGAACGCUAGCUACAGGCUUAACACAUGCAAGUCGAGGGACCGGCGCACGGGUGAGUAACACGUGUCCAACCUGCCCUUUACUCGGGGAUAGCCUUUCGAAGGAGAGAUUAAUACCCGAUGUAAAGGAUGGGGAUGCGUUCCAUUAGGUUGUUGGUGAGGUAACGGCUAACCAAGCAUUCGAUGGAUAGGGGUUCGGAGAGGAAGGCCCCCCACAUUGGAACUGAGACACGGUCCAAUCUCCGACGGGAGGCAGCAGUGAGGAAUAUUGGUCAAUGGGCGUUAGCCUGAACCAGCCACGUAGCGUGAAGGAUGAAGGCUUAUGGGUCGUAAACUUCUUUUAUAUAAGAAUAUGUAUUAUAUGAAUAAGGAUCGGCUAACUCCGUGCCAGCCGCCGCGGUAAUAC
rnacentral:rRNA from 1 species